UCUCUUCUUCUUCUAUGAUUUUUUUUUUAUGAAACCGAUUGAAUAAUAAUCGUAUUGUCCGUCAAUGAAACCGUCGCCAUCAAAGGGAAGCCGAGGGGCUAUGUUUAAAUUUUAAUGCCAUGUUUAAUUCCUUUUUAUGCUCCUUUCACCUAACGCAUGUUUUUAUUCCACCACUAAUCUCUGCGAUAUCAUCGUUGAUCUAGCUGCUGGCAACAUACGUUUCUAUCAGCAGCUAGCUGUCCUAGCUAGCCUCAUCAGUUCAGCGCAUCGAUGGGAGAUUGGGAGCCGGCACUGCUCGAUGUCUCUCUCGCCCUCAUCUUAUCGCCCGCGUCAGCGAUAUAUAGUGCCAACCAGGUCCAGGAAGUUCUUAAGUUCUUUGAUGAUACCCAUGUAGCUGACCUUCUUUGAUGAUACUUUGUUCCCAUAUCUGAUUGGUUGAUAUACAUUGCAAUGUGUAGGCACCAAACAAAGCAGUUGUUGUGUUCCUUUGCAUAGAGAUUUUUACAUCAUCUCUGAUAUGUCUCAUGUUUCUGUUAAUUAUCUCCUAUCCCAGUCCACUUUCAUGGGCUUUAAAGCUGCACUGCCAGUAAAUUGAGGUGGUGAAGGCCAUCUGUGGAUCCAAAAUAUAUUGUUCUUUGGCUAAGAUUUUAGGUCUGGCUGUUUUUCUCCAUUUCAUAUAAGCUUUUUGAAAAUAUCCCAUAUUAAAUAUUUCUAUUUGAGAAA